rnacentral:rRNA from 1 species
GCCCUUUAGACUGGGAUAACAGAGGGAAACUUCUGAUAAUACUGGAUAAGUUAGUAUAUCGCAUGAUAUGCAAAUGAAAGCUACGGCACUAAAGGAGAGCUUUGCGUCCUAUUAGCUAGUUGGUAAGGUAAGAGCUUACCAAGGCGAUGAUAGGUAGCCGGCCUGAGAGGGUGGACGGCCACAAGGGGACUGAGAUACGGCCCUUACUCCUACGGGAGGCAGCAGGC